ensembl:snRNA U4 U4 spliceosomal RNA
AGCUUUGUGCAGUGGCAGUACCGUAGCCAGUGAGGUUUAUCCAAGGCGUGACUAUUGCUAAUUGAAAACUUUUCCCAAUACCCCUCCAUGACAACUUGAAAUAUAGUUGGCGUAAAAAAAAG